CUGCUCUGGUGGGGCCUUGGAGAACCUGUGUGUUGAAACUCUGUAUCUAACUAAUCUGAUGGGGACGUGGAGUCUUUAUAUCUAGCUCAGGGAUUGUAAACGCACCAAUCAGCACCCUGACAAAACAGGCCACUCAGCUCUACCAAUCAGCAGGAUGUGGGUGGGGCCAGAUAAGAGAAUAAAAGCAGGCUGCCCGAGCCAGCAUUGGCAACCCGCUCGGGUCCCCUUCCACACUGUGGAAGCUUUGUUCUUUCACUCUUUGCAAUAAAUCUUGCUACUGCUCACGCUUUGGGUCCACGCUCCUUUUAUGAGCUGUAACACUCACCGUGAAGAUCUGCAGCUUCACUCCUGAACCCAGCGAGACAACGAGCCCACCAGGAGGAACGAACAACUCCAGACGCGCUACCUUAAGAGCUGUAACACUCACCGCGAAGGUCUGCAGCUUCACUCCUGAGCCAGCGAGACCACGAACCCACCAGAAGGAAGAAACUCAGAGCACAUCUGAACAUCAGAAGGAACAAACUUCAGACGCGCCACCUUAAGAGCUGUAACACUCACCACGAGGGUCCGCGGCUUCAUUCUUGAAGUCAGUGAGACCAAGAACCCACCAACGCCGGACACACAAACACUGCAUGUUCUCACUCAUAAGUGGGAGUUGAACAAGGAGAACACAUGGACACAGGAAGGGUAAUAUCACACACUGUGGCCUGUAGGGGGGUGGGGGGCUAUGGGACGGACAGCAUUAGGAGAAAUACCUAAUGUAGGUGAUGGGUUGAUGGGUGCAGCAAACCACCAUGGCACGUGUAUACCUAUGUAACAAACCUGCACCUUCUGCACAUGUACCCCAGAACUUAAAGUAUAAUAAAAAAAAAUGCUUACAAUGAAAACUAAGUGAAUAAGUAGGAUACAAAAUUGUAUAUGCACUGUUUUUAAUUAUGUUAAAAGUACAUAGAAGACUAUAUAAAAAUAUACUAAACUGUUAUACAGUGAGACUAGGGGUGGUUUUAAUUUUUAUUCUUGAUAUGCUGUAUUUUCUUAUUCUACAAUGAGCAUGUUUUAUAAACAGGACCCCCAAAAUUGCAUUUGUUAAAGCAUAUUAACUUGGGAGUCUGAUAUAUAUCAAGCUCCAAGGGCUGCCAUCUAUUAGCUGGGCAACAUUAAGCAAAUUAACUGCUGGGUCCCAGAUUUCUCACCUAUAAAACUGGCAUAAUGCCAAUCUAUUUUUCAAGCCAUUAUUUACUGGGCACUCACUAUGUGCUGGACACUAUGCCAAGUGGUUUUCCCUCCUAUAUUAUACAUAUUAUGCAUACUUACACUUCAUACAUGAUCAUUUUGAUCCUCAAAAUAAGGCAUGGAGUAGAUUAUCAUAAUCCUAUUUUAGAGAUAAACAAACUGCAGCUCAGAAAAGUUAGGUGAUAUGCUCAGGUUCACCCAACUAGUAGGUGGCAGAUAGAGUCAGAAUUCAGACAUAAGUCUGACCAUCUUUGGACACCUAGCUCCAGGCCUCCAGCCUGGACUGCUCACAGUGACAGUUUUGCUGUGAGGAUGGAAUGAGGUCAUACAGAUUGCGCGCCAAGCACAGUACCUGGCUCCUAGCACAGAGCUGCUCCUUCAAACAUUACUUCCCGUUUCUCUGACACCUGAAUGUUGGUAAAUUGUGGCAAAACAAACCAGUGCACUCUCUGAAAAAAAAAAGUGCCCCUGCCCUGAAGGAGGGAACUGUAGAGCCUGUAGGGACAGAAAAGAAAGGGGCUGGAAGGCUGGCUCACUCAGGGAGACAUGGGGGCGCUGGGACUGUGCAUCCCACAUUCUGGGAGUACUUCUGUCAGAGAUUUCUUCGGGACUUCAUUGGACCCUACACUUAAUUUGCAGCUCAGAAUACAGUAUAGCUUCCAACAAGGCAUCACACCCUGUCACCUCUUCUCCCUAAGAAACAAGGCACGGGUGUUCCAGGACCAUAGGUUGGUUUUUCUUUUCUUGUUUUCC
rnacentral:lncRNA from 10 species